rnacentral:rRNA from 1 species
UGGGGAAUAUUGGACAAUGGGCGCAAGCCUGAUCCAGCCAUGCCGCGUGAGUGAUGAAGGCCCUAGGGUUGUAAAGCGCUUUCACCGGUGAAGAUAAUGACGGUAACCGGAGAAGAAGCCCCGGCUAACUUCGUGCCAGCAGCCGCGGUAAUACGAAGGGGGCUAGCGUUGUUCGGAUUUACUGGGCGUAAAGCGCACGUAGGCGGACUUUUAAGUCAGGGGUGAAAUCCCGGGGCUCAACCCCGGAACUGCCUUUGAUACUGGAAGUCUUGAGUAUGGUAGAGGUGAGUGGAAUUCCGAGUGUAGAGGUGAAAUUCGUAGAUAUUCGGAGGAACACCAGUGGCGAAGGCGGCUCACUGGACCAUUACUGACGCUGAGGUGCGAAAGCGUGGGGAGCAAACAGG